rnacentral:rRNA from 1 species
ACAGCUCAGGACGAACGCUGGCGGCGUGCCUAAUACAUGCAAGUCGAGCGGACAGAUGGGAAGCUUGCUCCCUGAUGUUAGCGGCGGACGGGUGAGUAACACGUGGGUAACCUGCCUGUAAGAACUGGGAUAACUCCGGGAAACCGGGGCUAAUACCGGAUGCUUGAUUGAACCGCAUGGUUCAAAUUAUAAAAGGUGGCUUUUAGCUACCACUUACAGAUGGACCCGCGGCGCAUUAGCUAGUAUGGUGAGGUAACGGCUCACCAAGGCAACGAUGCGUAGCCGACCUGAGAGGGUGAUCGGCCAACACUGGGACUGAGACACGGCCCAGACUCCUACGGGAGGCAGCAGUAGGGAAUCUUCCGCAAAUGGACGAAAGUCUGACGGAGCAACGCCGCGUGAGUGAUGAAGGUUUUCGGAUCGUAAAAACUCUGUUGUUAGGGAAGAACAAGUACCGUUCGAAUAGGGCGGUACCUUGACGGUACCUAAACCAGAAAGCCACGGCUAACUACGUGCCAGCAGCCGCGGUAAUACGUAGGUGGCAAGCGUAUGUCCGGAAUUAUUGGGCGUAAAGCGCGCGCAGGCGGUUUCUUAAGUCUGAUGUGAAAGCACCGAGGGAGGGUCAUUGGAAACUGGGGAACUUGAGUGCAGAAGAGGAGACCCCGGCUCAACCGGGGAGGGUCAUUGGAAACUGGGGAACUUGAGUGCAGAAGAGGAGAAGUGGAAUUCCACGUGUAGCGGUGAAAUGCGUAGAGAUGUGGAGGAACACCAGUGGCGAAGGUGGAAUUCCACGUGUAGCGGUGAAAUGCGUAGAGAUGUGGAGGAACACCAGUGGCGAAGAGCGACUCUCUGGUCUGUAACUGACGCUGAGGCGCGAAAGCGUGGGGAGCGAACAGGAUUAGCGACUCUCUGGUCUGUAACUGACGCUGAGGCAGAUACCCUGGUAGUCCACGCCGUAAACGAUGAGUGCUAAGUGUUAGAGGGUUUCCGCCCUAUUAGUGCUGCAGCAAACGCAUUAAGCACUCCGCCUGGGGAGUACGGUCGCAAGACUGAAAACUCAAAGGAAUUGACGGGGGCCCGCACAAGCGGUGGAGCAUGUGGUUUAAUUCGAAGCAAACGCGAAGAACCUUACCAGGUCUUGACAUCCUCUGACAACCCUAGAGAUAGGGCUUCCCCUAUCGGGGGCAGAGUGACAGGUGGUGCAUGGUUGUCGUCAGCUCGUGUCGUGAGAUGUUGGGAUUAAGUCCCGCAACGAGCGCAACCCUUGAUCUUAGUUGCCAGCAUUCAGUUGGGCACUCUAAAGGUGACUGCCGGUGACAAACCGGAGGAAGGUGGGGAUGACGUCAAAUCAUCAUGCCCCAUUAUGACCUGGGCUACACACGUGCUACAAUGGGCAGAACAAAGGGCAGCGAAGCCGCGAGAGCUAAGCCAAUCCCACAAAUCUGUUCUCAGUUCGGAUCGCAGUCUGCAACUCGACUGCGUAGAAGCUGGAAUCGCUAGUAAUCGCGGAUCAGCAUGCCGCGGUGGAAUACGGUUCCCGGGGACCUUGUACACACCGCCCGUCACACCACGAGAGUUUGUAACACCCGAAGUCGGUGAGGUAAACCUUUUGGAGCCAGCCGCCGAAGGUGGGACAGAUGAUUGGGGUGAAUC